rnacentral:rRNA from 1 species
AGAGUUUGAUCAUGGCUCAGAACGAACGCUGGCGGCAGGCUUAACACAUGCAAGUCGAACGAAUGUAGCAAUACAUUAGUGGCGCACGGGUGAGUAACGCGUGGAUAUCUGCCUUUUGGUUCGGGAUAACCUUGGGAAACUAGGGCUAAUACCGAAUGGUUCCUACGGGAUAAAGAUUUAUCGCCAAAAGAUGAGUCCGCGUCCGAUUAGCUAGUUGGUGAGGUAAUGGCUCACCAAGGCGACGAUCGGUAGCUGGUCUGAGAGGACGAUCAGCCACACUGGGACUGAGACACGGCCCAGACUCCUACGGGAGGCAGCAGUGGGGAAUAUUGGACAAUGGGGGCAACCCUGAUCCAGCCAUGCCGCGUGAGUGAUGAAGGCCUUCGGGUUGUAAAGCUCUUUUGGCGGGGACGAUGAUGACGGUACCCGCAGAAUAAGCCCCGGCUAACUUCGUGCCAGCAGCCGCGGUAAGACGAAGGGGGCUAGCGUUGUUCGGAAUUACUGGGCGUAAAGCGUGUGUAGGUGGUUGCCAUAGUCAGGUGUGAAAGCCUUGAGCUCAACUCAAGAAAUGCACUUGAUACUGGGCAGCUAGAGGACCGGAGAGGAUAGUGGAAUUCCCAGUGUAGUGGUGAAAUACGUAGAGAUUGGGAAGAACACCAGUGGCGAAGGCGGCUAUCUGGACGGUUUCUGACACUAAGACACGAAAGCGUGGGGAGCAAACAGGAUUAGAUACCCUAGUAGUCC